CCUGGGCCUGAGAUGAGGUGGUGGCUGCCGCGCUGGCAGGUGGACGCUGAGGACAAGAGUUCCAGCCGGAGCCCAGCAGCGCCCCGCUUUUUAGUAAGCCGGGCAGUGAGGGGCCUCUGCUUUUCCAGGGCUCCUGUCUCAAGCGAGGGACAAGACGGAUCUGGAGUCCACAGAGAGUUAACUACCUUGACAGACAGGGGGUGUGGGGGGUUCUUCCAUGAGGAGGGAAGGGACUGGGCAGGGACAGAGCUUAUUCCAGGCCCAGGAAUGGGUGUCUGGGAGGUAGAUCACCCCGGAGCCCACAUACAAGUCGAGUUUAUUCAGCAGUGACCCAGUGCAAGGAUGAUUAUUUAAUUAUGGUAGUUUGGUUGGUUGUGGAAGAAGUAAGAGUGUUAGAUACUUAUCUUCACUUAGAGCCCAGGAGCUCCCUGACUCAGCCUUGGCUGGAAGGGGCUUGUCCCUCUCAGGAUGCGUCUGGAACUGUUCUAAGGAGAGAUGCAGCGCUUCCUCCGCCUGUGAUGACAGCUGGGGUCCGCACUUCCUAGCAGGCUAGUGGUCCAACUGGUUUAGUUGCAGGAAUGAUUCACACACAGCUUCCCGAUGGAGAACACAGGUGACAUGUGGCACUUAGUCCUGCACCAGCAGAGCCACAGGAAUGAGUAAGACCUGGAGAAAAAGAGAGGAGCAGAAAUCCAAGUUUUCUUUGAAGAAUGUUCCAUGCAUGUAAGAUGGCCUGUAGAACAAGUUACAACACGCAGUAGAGUCAAUGGGAACAAGGUCAGAAAAGGGACCAUAGGGAUGCUCAGGCAUUUGUUCCCAGGUCCUCGCCAUGAGUGUGAUCCUGUGAUAAACAUUCCCUUUGGUCAUGGAAGGUGAGGUGCCGGAGCCGUUCCGUCCUUGCUGCUUGACACAGUCACUUCAGGGAGGAGACAUCUGCACAGCAAAUUCUCCAUGGGACUUGGUGUAUAUGGCAUAUCCCUCUUUCUAUGCUUGUUUCCCCUUCUUAACGCUUUGUGUCCUUACCCGAGUCACUGCACCAGAGAAGGGCAUUGCCCUAGCUGGAAACUUUUCCCUAGUAGGGGGAUUGGAUGGGACUGGAAGAGACAAUGAUUCUGUAAAAGCCCUAAGUAGUACAGAAAUAUCAUGUGCUGCUUAUGAGGAACUCAGACUCAGACUUUCAGCAGAAAGUUUAGGACCUGUUAGGCCCACUACCCUGGGGGCCUUCCCACCAGGGAAGAGGCCUGGGUUGGGGCCCCUGCUGACUCGGCGCAAGGCAAUGCUCCAGUGAGUUCCCACUAAGGAAUAUAAUACUGGGGAAUGUUUAUAUUAAGGGAAAAUUAUGGGAACCACCACAAGGAAAAAAGAAGCCUAGGACUAAGGUUGUUUCAGACUACUCCUGUGCCUUUACCAUACACAGGAGUGUACAGUGAGGACGGAUACAGGAUAGUCAUGUACAAAGGCAAACACACACGGGUCCUGGAUAUCCCAGGCUUCUUGGAAAGGCUGGGGAGACGGGGCCCUCAUGGUGCCUGUUGGAGAAGAUAAAGUCUCUGUGCGAGCAACUCAGAAAAUACCAUUGCAAACUCUGCAGGCAGUUCCCCUAUCUGAUAGCUGCAGGGACUAUAACUGGAGAGACUAAGACUGGGCGCCAGACAGGCGAGUAACCACCAUAGAUAAAAAUAAUCUUGUGCAAAUUGCAUAACCUUUACUUAUGAAAAUCUGCCUUGGUUGUUGUUGCCUUAUAGCUUAAGGGUGAAAGUAAUGGAAUGGUAACUUUAGAGUAGAAAUAGCAAACUAGAGAUUAACCUGUAGAAUAGACAAUAGAAACAGACAAUAGAUAAGAUUAAAUCAACAUAGCUGAACAGUAAUGAAUUCUUUAGCAAAGGUCAGAUAAGAAAGUUUAACCAUAAAAUAAGGAAUUGUAAAAGGUUAAAACAGAAACCAGGACGAAGCAUGAUGUCAUGUUGUUUAACCCGUAAUAAAGUCAAAUAGUAUAAGUACAGUUGAAAAAAGGCAAUAAAAGAGAGAGAACCUGAUUGUGAUGAUCUGAA